GAUGAACGCUGGCGGCGUGCCUAAUACAUGCAAGUCGAGCGAACAGACGAGGAGCUUGCUCCUCUGACGUUAGCGGCGGACGGGUGAGUAACACGUGGAUAACCUACCUAUAAGACUGGGAUAACUUCGGGAAACCGGAGCUAAUACCGGAUAAUAUAUUGAACCGCAUGGUUCAAUAGUGAAAGACGGUUUUGCUGUCACUUAUAGAUGGAUCCGCGCCGCAUUAGCUAGUUGGUAAGGUAACGGCUUACCAAGGCGACGAUGCGUAGCCGACCUGAGAGGGUGAUCGGCCACACUGGAAUUGAGACACGGUCCAGACUCCUACGGGAGGCAGCAGUAGGGAAUCUUCCGCAAUGGGCGAAAGCCUGACGGAGCAACGCCGCGUGAGUGAUGAAGGUCUUCGGAUCGUAAAACUCUGUUAUUAGGGAAGAACAAAAGUGUAAGUAACUAUGCACGUCUUGACGGUACCUAAUCAGAAAGCCACGGCUAACUACGUG
rnacentral:rRNA from 1 species